UACGUAGGUGACCAGCGUUGUCCGGAUUUACUGGGCGUAAAGAGCGCGCAGGCGGUCGUUCAAGUCGAGUGUGAAAGCCCCCGGCUCAACUGGGGAGGGUCACUCGAUACUGAUCGACUUGAAGGCAGGAGAGGGAAGCGGAAUUCCCGGUGUAGUGGUGAAAUGCGUAGAUAUCGAGAGGAACACCUGCGGCGAAGGCGGGUAGCUGGGCCGACACUGACGCUGAGGCGCGAAAGCUAGGGGAGCGAACGGG
rnacentral:rRNA from 1 species